CACGUAGGGCGCAAGCGUUGUCCGGAAUUAUUGGGCGUAAAGAGCUCGUAGGCGGUCUGUUGCGUCCGCUGUGAAAACUCGGGGCUUAACCCCGAGCCUGCAGUGGAUACGGGCAGACUAGAGGUAGGUAGGGGAGAAUGGAAUUCCAGGUGUAGCGGUGAAAUGCGUAGAUAUCUGGAGGAACACCGGUGGCGAAGGCGGCAUUCUGGACCGACAUUGACGCUGAGGAGCGAAAGCGUGGGGAGCAAACAGG
rnacentral:rRNA from 1 species